UUUAGUCUUUAUGUUUCCCUUAGUAGAUGCUCUCUAAUACCUGUCUGGUUGCAUAUAUUGCUUGGAACUACAGGCAGAGAGAGAUGCUGAUGAGAUUUACACCCAAACGACUCUUCAGCCGGUGAACUCUGACUGGCUAUUGGCUUGUAUUCCGGCAUCACAUAUGGCCUACAAGAAGCUCGGGGAGCUUAUGAUUGGGUGGGGCCCAUUUAGAAGUUAGGCAAGACCAUCCAUCAGCUGGGCCAGAGUACAAAAACCAAUGAACAGGCCCAAGUCUUGUUAGCAGACCACCCUUUGUUUAUUACACUGGUGUUGGCUUCUUACAGUGGCCCACAAAUCACAGCAAUUUCAAGUUACAUGCAAUGACUAAAGGAGUGAAUUUCCUGUAGAAAAACAGUGUGGUGGCAGGGGCGUUGACAGGAGCAGCAUUGGUGCUCACUUGCGAGGAUGCCUCUCAUGAGCAGGUUAUUCAUUACGCCAUCACUGGAGCAGCGCUCUCAACAGCUGUGAAUCUUCUCGCCGGGGUUUUGACUAACUGGGCAUCUGAGUUUCUUUGGGAGAGGAGAUGAUCUUCUAGCAAGAUUCAAACAGUAGCAUAUUGUUUUAAAUAAGCAUCGUAUAGUACAUGUGAGAAAAUACUGUUUGCUUAGAUUGCAGAUGGAAUCUGAUGCAUGUUCUAUAUUUUCUUUAAAAUUCGUAGUAUACUUACAUUAUCACUUUCCUUGCUAGUGAAAUGUACCUUUUCUGUUCUUAAUGAAUAGCUACCAAUUCGUAAUUUGUGCAAGCUUGCUGAUUUCCUUGUUUGGAAGUUCUUUGCUCAACUAGAUAUGAGUUCUAGGCCAGUUCUUCGCAUUUUCACUGACGGCCACAACAAAACCGGUGAAUUAUAGUUUUCCUAGUUGCAUCAUGUAAUUUGUACAGUUCAACAGAAUGAUUUAAACUAUUCAUUGAGUUUAGAACACAUUUCAAGGGGUACCAUGUAAAAAUAAGACUGAUUGGAUGAUACUAAUCCACCUAGAUUCAAAUUUUUUUCAGCUUAUGAAGGCCUCUCUAAACCAGCCCUUUGCAUUGCAGAUAUUGUAUAUUUGUUUCAAAAUAUCUUUUUAAACAGUAGCUUCUCUUAUUCUCUUCUCCAUUUCCUUCUGCUCUUGAUUUGCAGCCAUGUCUUUCUGAAUGGUAAGAUUCUUCCUAUCCUUAAUUUGCUAGAUAUUUCCUUGUUGAGAAAUUGUGAUUCUUUUAGUAUCUGUAUUAGUUUU